CCUUCAGGGGCAAUAGUACACAUGGAUCUGUCAUCUCCUAUGAUAACAAUGCCUUCUUCUAGAAACCUCCCAAAGGACCUGCCUAAGGCUGUUUUACAGUAAACUUUUUGAAGGAAAUAAUGUAUACAGUGGUCCAUUUUCAAGACAAAGUGCCUUGAAUUGACUUAGGUUAGCAAACUACAGAAGAAACAAGAUAUACUAGGCCACUGCUUGGCUAGCCAAUGCCUGCUUGUCGGCCUCCCCCUCCCCUUUCUUCCCCCCAACGCUUAGUUGCCCUCACCAGAACCAAAAAAGUUUAGUCUAAAAUGAAAGCUUUCUAGCCUGCAAAAUAGCUCGCUUUAUCUAUUCUUAUCAGCCUGCCCAGCUACUUAGGUCAUAAGUCAAAUAUUUAAAGAGCCCCUGAGCUAACUAGGAUUGUAAUGCAUUGUGGGCUGCAACAAAAUGCGGCAAGACAACCCUAAAGAAAACACCUAAAGCCCCUACCCAACAAUCAAUAGGCAACGUCCAGGAAGAUUGUGACCCCAUAGCACUCAGCCUCUAAGGAACUGGGGGAGGGACUUGCGCACUAGGGGAUAAACUGCUUGUUAAAACUGUACUGGGUGUGCCUGUCCAUCAAACACGGAUCUUGCAAGACUGUCAUUAAAAGUCUCACUUUCGCUGUUCUCCGGGUCUCUAAGUCCAUUCUUUGGGUUUGAAUGGGUAAGUUUGUUUCUCAUACUUUUUUAAUAAGCAGAGGCAGUACACUCUAAAAUAAUGAUUAAAAGUAUAGUAUAGUAAAUACAUAAACAAAAUAGUCAUUUAUUAUAAUUAUCAAGUAUUAUGUACUGUACCUAAUUGUAUCUGUUAGACUUUUAUACCAUUGGCAAUGCAAUAGGUUUGUUUAUACCAGCCUCACUACAAACACCUGAGUAAUGCAUUGUGCUAUGUUAUUAGGACAGCUAGAACAUCACUAGGCGACAGGAAUGUUUCAGUUCUAUUAUAAUCUUUUAUAGUCUAUUAUAAUGGACCAUAUAUAUGGCCACUGUCAUAUAUGUUAUCAUUAACUGAAAAGUUGUUAUGCAGUGCAUGACUAUAUUCUGUCGUUGCAGCUUAUUGUCUAAAACUAUGUCCUUUCUCAGUCCAAUACAAGUAUUCCCAGCAGUGGUGUCUCAACUAUCAUCUAGACUGCAAACGUCCUGAGAGGAGCCUCAUGUCUUCUUACAACAUCACAUGAAAGGAGCAGGCUAACUUGUUAGCUUCCAGAUAGUGAAGAUCAGAGUGUUGAAAGACAACCUGUGAUGAAUAUACAGAUGGAUAGAAAACUUGGAGCAACGGAAGUGUUGGAAGAAAAAUGGGGCUAAUGUAGGCUAAAGAAAUUAAAUUUGCCAUAAAUCUUCCGUUAAAGCUUCUAAACCAUAAUGAAUUUUCCUUGUGGCAUCUGCCACCUGAAUCCUUCCAUUUAUGUCUGCAUGAACCUUUUUCUGUGUGUCUCAAAGUUCUACCGACUAUUAUGUGUGUUGGGGAUGUGCCUGUGUGUGCCUGAGUUUGUGUGUGUGUGUGUGUGUGUGUGUGUGUGUGUGGUAGUGGUGGUGGUGGUGGAGAUGGUGGGGAGGAUCCAAUUCUUAAAAUGCACCUUUUGUCAUCAUGUAAGAAUAGCUCUGA
rnacentral:lncRNA from 10 species